UCGAGUCGGCCUGCGCGGAAGAUGUAACGGGGCUAAACCAUGCACCGAAGCUGCGGCAGCGAACGUAUCACCCAAGACAACUUUACGGAGUUGACGAUUGACGGAGCGAAGCGACGUCAAAGCGUUCAUUAAAGUCGAGUUGGCUUAGGGAUACGUUCGUUGGGUAGGGGAGCGUUCUGUAAGCCUGUGAAGGUGUGUCGUGAGGCAUGCUGGAGGUAUCAGAAGUGCGAAUGCUGACAUAAGUAACGAUAAAGCGGGUGAAAAGCCCG
rnacentral:rRNA from 1 species